UACGUAGGGUGCAAGCGUUAAUCGGAAUUACUGGGCGUAAAGCGUGCGCAGGCGGUUUUGUAAGUCAGAUGUGAAAUCCCCGGGCUUAACCUGGGAACUGCGUUUGAAACUACAAGGCUAGAGUGUGACAGAGGGGGGUGGAAUUCCACGUGUAGCAGUGAAAUGCGUAGAGAUGUGGAGGAAUACCGAUGGCGAAGGCAGCCCCCUGGGUCAAUACUGACGCUCAUGCACGAAAGCGUGGGGAGCAAACAGG
rnacentral:rRNA from 1 species